rnacentral:rRNA from 1 species
GACGAACGCUGGCGGCGUGCUUAACACAUGCAAGUCGAACGGAAAGGCCCUGCUUUUGUGGGGUCUUCGAGUGCCGAACGGGUGAGUAACACGUGAGUAACCUGCCCUUGACUUUGGGAUAACUUCAGGAAACUGGGGCUAAUACCGGAUAGGAGCUCCUGCGGCAUGGUGGGGGUUGGAAAGUUUCGGCGGUUGGGGAUGGACUGGCGGCUUAUCAGCUUGUUGGUGGGGUAGUGGCUUACCAAGGCUUUGACGGGUAGCCGGCCUGAGAGGGUGACCGGCCACAUUGGGACUGAGAUACGGCCCAGACGCCUACGGGAGGCAGCAGUGGGGAAUAUUGCACAAUGGGCGGAAGCCUGAUGCAGCAACGCCGCGUGCGGGAUGACGGCCUUCGGGUUGUAAGCCGCUUUCGCCUGUGACGAAGCGUGAGUGACGGUAAUGGGUAAAGAAGCACCGGCUAACUACGUG